rnacentral:rRNA from 1 species
CUAGGUAGAGUAUUGGGCCUAAAGCAUCCGUAGCCGGCUUUGCAAGUCUCCGGUUAAAUCCAACUGCUCAACAGAUGGGCUGCCGGAGAUACUACAAAGCUAGGGAGCGGGAGAGGCAGACGGUAUUCGGUGGGUAGGGGUAAAAUCCUCUGAUCCAUUGAGGACCACCAGUGGCGAAGGCGGUCUGCCAGAACGCGUUCGACGGUGAGGGAUGAAAGCUGGGGGAGCAAACCGGAUUAGAUACCCGGGUAGUCCCAGCUGUAAACGAUGCAAACUCGGUGAUGCACUGGCUUAAGGCCAGUGCAGUGCCGCAGGGAAGCCGUUAAGUUUGCCGCCUGGGAAGUACGUACGCAAGUAUGAAACUUAAAGGAAUUGGCGGGGGAGCAC